rnacentral:rRNA from 1 species
UACAGAGGGGGCAAGCGUUGUUCGGAAUUACUGGGCGUAAAGGGCGCGUAGGCGGCCUUCUAAGUCGAACAUGAAAUCCCUGGGCUCAACCCAGGAACUGCGUCCGAUACUGGGAGGCUUGAAUCCGGGAGAGGGAUGCGGAAUUCCAGGUGUAGCGGUGAAAUGCGUAGAUAUCUGGAGGAACACCGGUGGCGAAGGCGGCAUCCUGGACCGGUAUUGACGCUGAGGCGCGAAAGCCAGGGGAGCAAACAGG